GCGCGUGUGGCGAAAUUGGUAGACGCGCUAGAUUUAGGUUCUAGUGCCUUCGGGCGUGUGGGUUCGAGUCCCACCAUGCGCA
rnacentral:tRNA from 1 species